rnacentral:snoRNA from 1 species
CCGCCAAUGAUGACUCAAAAUAGCUAUAUGAACUCUUUGGUGACUCGAUAAUAAGAGAAAUCUGAAAAUUUUCAAGGUUUUUCUAGAGAUUUCACCGAUUCUUUUGAAGUAUCGGUGCACCAAGUGAAAAAUAAAAUUGCGACGCUUUAGUGACGCUGGAGAAAGUUUUUAUCCAGUGUCUAAAGGCGCGGC